rnacentral:rRNA from 1 species
UACGUAGGGUGCGAGCGUUUAAUCGGAAUUACUGGGCGUAAAGUGUGCGCAGGCGGCCGAGCAAGUCGAGUGUGAAGGCCCCGAGCUUAACUUGGGAACUGCGCUCGAAACUACUUGGCUAGAGUGUGGCAGAGGGAGGUGGAAUUCCACGUGUAGCGGUGAAAUGCGUAGAGAUGUGGAGGAACACCGAUGGCGAAGGCAGCCUCCUGGGCAACACUGACGCUCAUGCACGAAGCGUGGGGAGCA